GCAUGUGCUGUGAGCUCGAUGAGUAGGGCGGGACACGUGGUAUCCUGUCUGAAUAUGGGGGGACCAUCCUCCAAGGCUAAAUACUCCUGACUGACCGAUAGUGAACCAGUACCGUGAGGGAAAGGCGAAAAGAACCCCGGCGAGGGGAGUGAAAAAGAACCUGAAACCGUGUACGUACAAGCAGUGGGAGCACAGGUUUACCUGUGUGACUGCGUACCUUUUGUAUAAUGGGUCAGCGACUUAUAUUCUGUAGCAAGGUUAACCGUAUAGGGGAGCCGGAGGGAAACCGAGUCUUAAUUGGGCGUUAAGUUGCAGGGUAUAGACCCGAAACCCGGUGAUCUAGCCAUGGGCAGGUUGAAGGUUGGGUAACACUAACUGGAGGACCGAACCGACUAAUGUUGAAAAAUUAGCGGAUGACCUGUGGCUGGGGGUGAAAGGCCAAUCAAACCGGGAGAUAGCUGGUUCUCCCCGAAAGCUAUUUAGGUAGCGCCUCGUGAAUUCAUCUCCGGGGGUAGAGCACUGUUUCGGCUAGGGGGCCAUCCCGGCUUACCAACCCGAUGCAAACUGCGAAUACCGGAGAAUGUUAUCACGGGAGACACACGGCGGGUGCUAACGUCCGUCGUGAAGAGGGAAACAACCCAGACCGCCAGCUAAGGUCCCAAAGUCAUGGUUAAGUGGGAAACGAUGUGGGAAGGCCCAGACAGCCAGGAUGUUGGCUUAGAAGCAGCCAUCAUUUAAAGAAAGCGUAAUAGCUCACUGGUCGAGUCGGCCUGCGCGGAAGAUGUAACGGGGCUAAACCAUGCACCGAAGCUGCGGCAGCGAACGUAUCACCCAAGACAACUUUACGGAGUUGACGAUUGACGGAGCGAAGCGACGUCAAAGCGUUCAUUAAAGUCGAGUUGGCUUAGGGAUACGUUCGUUGGGUAGGGGAGCGUUCUGUAAGCCUGUGAAGGUGUGUCGUGAGGCAUGCUGGAGGUAUCAGAAGUGCGAAUGCUGACAUAAGUAACGAUAAAGCGGGUGAAAAGCCCGCUCGCCGGAAGACCAAGGGUUCCUGUCCAACGUUAAUCGGGGCAGGGUGAGUCGACCCCUAAGGCGAGGCCGAAAGGCGUAGUCGAUGGGAAACGGGUUAAUAUUCCCGUACUUGGUGUUACUGCGAAGGGGGGACGGAGAAGGCUAUGUUGGCCGGGCGACGGUUGUCCCGGUUUAAGCGUGUAGGUGUGUGUUCCAGGUAAAUCCGGUUCACUUUAACACUGAGGCGUGACGACGAGGCACUACGGUGCUGAAGCAACAAAUGCCCUGCUUCCAGGAAAAGCCUCUAAGCAUCAGGUAACAUCAAAUCGUACCCCAAACCGACACAGGUGGUCAGGUAGAGAAUACCAAGGCGCUUGAGAGAACUCGGGUGAAGGAACUAGGCAAAAUGGUGCCGUAACUUCGGGAGAAGGCACGCUGACACGUAGGUGAAGUGAUUUACUCAUGGAGCUGAAGUCAGUCGAAGAUACCAGCUGGCUGCAACUGUUUAUUAAAAACACAGCACUGUGCAAACACGAAAGUGGACGUAUACGGUGUGACGCCUGCCCGGUGCCGGAAGGUUAAUUGAUGGGGUCAGCGCAAGCGAAGCUCCUGAUCGAAGCCCCGGUAAACGGCGGCCGUAACUAUAACGGUCCUAAGGUAGCGAAAUUCCUUGUCGGGUAAGUUCCGACCUGCACGAAUGGCGUAAUGAUGGCCAGGCUGUCUCCACCCGAGACUCAGUGAAAUUGAACUCGCUGUGAAGAUGCAGUGUACCCGCGGCAAGACGGAAAGACCCCGUGAACCUUUACUAUAGCUUGACACUGAACAUUGAGCCUUGAUGUGUAGGAUAGGUGGGAGGCUUUGAAGUGUGGACGCCAGUCUGCAUGGAGCCGACCUUGAAAUACCACCCUUUAAUGUUUGAUGUUCUAACGUGGACCCGUAAUCCGGGUUGCGGACAGUGUCUGGUGGGUAGUUUGACUGGGGCGGUCUCCUCCUAAAGAGUAACGGAGGAGCACGAAGGUUGGCUAAUCCUGGUCGGACAUCAGGAGGUUAGUGCAAUGGCAUAAGCCAGCUUGACUGCGAGCGUGACGGCGCGAGCAGGUGCGAAAGCAGGUCAUAGUGAUCCGGUGGUUCUGAAUGGAAGGGCCAUCGCUCAACGGAUAAAAGGUACUCCGGGGAUAACAGGCUGAUACCGCCCAAGAGUUCAUAUCGACGGCGGUGUUUGGCACCUCGAUGUCGGCUCAUCACAUCCUGGGGCUGAAGUAGGUCCCAAGGGUAUGGCUGUUCGCCAUUUAAAGUGGUACGCGAGCUGGGUUUAGAACGUCGUGAGACAGUUCGGUCCCUAUCUGCCGUGGGCGCUGGAGAACUGAGGGGGGCUGCUCCUAGUACGAGAGGACCGGAGUGGACGCAUCACUGGUGUUCGGGUUGUCAUGCCAAUGGCACUGCCCGGUAGCUAAAUGCGGAAGAGAUAAGUGCUGAAAGCAUCUAAGCACGAAACUUGCCCCGAGAUGAGUUCUCCCUGAGACUUAGAGUCUCCUGAAGGAACGUUGAAGACGACGACGUUGAUAGGCCGGGUGUGUAAGCGCAGCGAUGCGUUGAGCUAACCGGUACUAAUGAACCGUGAGGCUUAACCUUACA
rnacentral:rRNA from 1 species